rnacentral:rRNA from 1 species
CAGCAGCCGCGGGAAUACGGAGGGUGCAAGCGUUAAUCGGAAUUACUGGGCGUAAAGCGCACGCAGGCGGUCUGACAAGUCAGAUGUGAAAUCCCCGGGCUUAACCUGGGAACUGCAUUUGAAACUGUCAGGCUGGAGUCUUGUAGAGGGGGGUGGAAUUCCAGGUGUAGCGGUGAAAUGCGUAGAGAUCUGGAGGAAUACCGGUGGCGAAGGCGGCCCCCUGGACAAAGACUGACGCUCAGGUGCGAAAGCGUGGGGAGCAAACAGGAUUAGAUACCCUAGUAGUCCCUGUCUCUUAUAC